rnacentral:rRNA from 1 species
UACGGAGGGGGCUAGCGUUGUUCGGAAUUACUGGGCGUAAAGCGCGCGUAGGCGGCUUUGUAAGUUAGAGGUGAAAGCCCGGAGCUCAACUCCGGAACUGCCUUUAAGACUGCAUCGCUAGAAUUGUGGAGAGGUGAGUGGAAUUCCGAGUGUAGAGGUGAAAUUCGUAGAUAUUCGGAAGAACGCCAGUGGCGAAGGCGACUCACUGGACACAUAUUGACGCUGAGGUGCGAAAGCGUGGGGAGCAAACAGG